UCCGUAGGUGAACCUGCGGAAGGAUCAUUACAGAAUUUUGAGAAUUGUGCUUAACUGCACUUUUCUUAUCUACACACGUGUUUUUGUUUUAUUCUUAAAACUUGCUUUGGCAGUGGCUGCUUAAUUGCUCUGCUGCCAGAGGAUAAACUCAACCUAAAUUUUUUAUUUUAAACUAGUCAACUGAUUAUAUUUAUUAAUAGUCAAAACUUUCAACAACGGAUCUCUUGGUUCUCGCAUCGAUGAAGAACGCAGCGAAAUGCGAUAAGUAAUAUGAAUUGCAGAUAUUCGUGAAUCAUCGAAUCUUUGAACGCACAUUGCGCCCUCUGGUAUUCCGGAGGGCAUGCCUGUUUGAGCGUCAUUUCUCCCUCAAACCCCCGGGUUUGGUGAUGAGCAAUACGCCAGGUUUGCUUGAAAGUUAGGAGGAGUAUUUAUAACAAUGUAUUAGGUCUAACCACUCCAUUGUGCUUAAUAAAAGCUCCAAUCUAUAUUUCAAACUUCGACCUCAAAUCAGGUAGGAUUACCCGCUGAACUUAAGCAUAUCAAUAAGCGGAGGAAAAGA
rnacentral:sRNA from 1 species